CACCCUCUUUUCAACAUCGAGGAGGAUGAACAUUCUACGAAAUCAAAAGGACCCCUUAAGUUCUACAACUCGGAGAUCCACACGGCAUCAUUCUGUUUGCCCUCUUUUGCAAAGAUGGUAAUUGAGUCAAC